rnacentral:rRNA from 1 species
CCUUUGUACACACCGCCCGUCGCUACUACCGAUUGAACGGCCCAGUGAGGCCUUCGGACUGGCCCAGGGGGGUCGGCAACGACCCCCCAGGGCCGGAAAGUUGGUCAAACUUGGUCGUUUAGAGG